UAUCGCCGGCAUGACGGGGCUGCUGCCUGCGUUAGUGCUCGUGGCUCUUUGUGCCGUGACAGCGGAUGGAGCGGCGCUGGGCGGUAAAGCCAGAGAUGGCCGGGAGAAUGCCCAGCGCAGGGAGCGGGCGGGCUGUAUGCUUCGGAUGGCACAGGGUACUCACAAAAUAUGUCUCCCUUAGUGUCCCACAGAAACAUUCUGGGUGAAAUCUGAAUUAAGUGCUAUGAGUCUUGAUAAAUUGGAGAAGUGCCCAAGAGAAAUUCAUCAUCCUGAGAUACAAAAGGUAGGAAGUGACUUUUUUUGGUUUGGUUCUUUUUCUUUAUUGUUUUCCGGAAAUAGAAGUAAUUAAGUAUAGAUACUACUGGUUUGUUUCUUCCAGUAGCUGAUAAUACUAAUACCAACAAUAAUAAUAAUAAGAGUAAAGUAAUACUACUUCAACUGUCUUUAUUUAUCCAUUGGACUGGCCAUUUUAAAUCUAAACUUCUAAACACAAAUCAAACCAUCAUCCUUGUAGAAUCUUUAAUAGGAGUGGGCUAAAGAUCCUGGUUUUGCUUACAGGAUUUAUUGGUUCAUGAAGAGCAAGAGGUAAGUACAAGCCUAACUACCCUCUAGCUCACAGACCUGCCCGGUGAAUAGAGCUUUGUUUUUUUGAUGGGCUUGUGAUGACUUUGAAAUCAAUUGCUCAUUCAUUACAGUAAAAAAAAAAAAUUGUUUUGAACAUGACAGCAAAAAUAACUUUAAGCACAACUUAAUAAUAAUAGAUCACCAAUUUUAGUUAAUAAUUUUAUGCUAUACUCUUGGGUGAGGGAAGACUCGGACACUCAAUAUGAGAUCAGCAAGCUAUGUUUAUUGCAGAGAGUAUCAGACACUUAUAUAGCACAUAAUAAGCUUAUGAAUAUUCUGUAAGCCAAGCGAUCUAUUGGUUAAACUAUACCAUCAACUCUUCCUCAUUCCUUUGGGCCUACAUUCCCUAUUUCCCACGUCUCUCUGUCUACUUGUUAUCCUACCCAGCUAGGCCCAGGCACACGCUAUCUUGCAGGUGCAAAACUCAAAAAUACCUGUGUUCGGUACUUUCCCAGCUCCUGGUCGGCUAACGAGCGAAUGUCUGCGUGACCUCUGUCAUGGAGCCAUUUCUCCACACUAUACUAUCAAAGUUUAAAGGUAAAUUAUUAUAUAUUAGGAGAUGGUAUAAAGUGUAUGUUGUAAUGUGUAGGAUAUAUACAAAGAUACAUACUUGAAAGUCCGUAGAGGAAACAAAUUUUUAUGCCUUCUGUUUGACUGUUUGUCAUAUAUUUGGUUUUAUUUCCCAGGGAUCAGUGAAUUUUAACUCUGGAGUCCUCUAUGCUAAGGAUGCUCAGCUUACAGAUGAUGAAAUGUUCAGUAAUGGUGAGUUUUUCACCUUCUCCUUCAUUGUUUUGCUCAUCUGAAUAAAAAAAAAAAGGCAAGAUUAAAGAAAAAGCAAUAGUUUUAUUAUUUUUACCCUGUUAUGUCUGUUUCCUCAGUAUUUGCUGGAGCUGUGCUUACCCAAGGUUUGGGUAAAACAAGCUUUGGGUUCCUUCUGUCUCACUGGGAGUUGCCCAAUUCAGUUGCAUCUGGUGAAAUUCACCCUGAGACCUUAUAGAACCAGCUCCAACUACGUGAGAGCCAUUUGCAGUUCUCUCCAGACGCCUGGAGAAUGGGCGACGUUUCUGAGGAUCCGGCGAGCGUGCUUCUGUCAAAACUCAGUCUGUGAAAUUUCUGGGGAAAACCCUUCUGUGUCUUGAAGGGUUCAAACUCUGGUGAGGAUCCAGUUAUCAGGUGCUCACCUGGAUGGUUCCAGCUGCCAAAGGUAACACUUGUACUCUUGCCCUGUAGUUUACAUCUAUUGUAUUUUUGUUAUUUUGCAGGAUUUUUUGUCUUUGCAAAAUAUUGUGCAUUUCACUCUUUGGAACCUCUCAGAUGGUUCUUUGGUGCAGCACCACCCCAGGGGACACUUGGCUGCUGUCCUGAAGGGGUUGGUCGCUAGAAUUGUAAAUCCUGGAGAGUUUGUAAGUCUUCUGUCCCCAGGGAGGUAUCAUGCUUCGUUUACUUUUGUUCUGUUGGUUAGGCGCUGCCUCUCGUUGCAAGUAUGAAUUUCAAA